rnacentral:rRNA from 1 species
GACGAACGCUGGCGGCGUGCUUAACACAUGCAAGUCGAACGAAGAGCGAUGGAAGCUUGCUUCUAUCAAUCUUAGUGGCGCACGGGUGAGUAACGCGUAAUCAACCUGCCCUUCAGAGGGGGACAACAGUUGGAAACGACUGCUAAUACCGCAUACGAUCUAAACUCGGCAUCGAGGAUAGAUGAAAGGUGGCCUCUACAUGUAAGCUAUCACUGAAGGAGGGGAUUGCGGCUGAUUAGCUAGUUGGAGGGGUAACGGCCCACCAAGGCGAUGAUCAGUAGCCGGUCUGAGAGGAUGAACGGCCACAUUGGGACUGAGACACGGCCCAGACUCCUACGGGAGGCAGCAGUGGGGAAUCUUCCGCAAUGGACGAAAGUCUGACGGAGCAACGCCGCGGGAGUGAUGACGGCCUUCGGGUUGUAAAGCUCUGUUAAUCGGGACGAAAGGCCUUCUUGCGAAUAGUGAGAAGGAUUGACGGUACCGGAAUAGAAAGCCACGGCUAACUACGUG